GUACCCUCAAGCUAUGCUUGGUGUUGGGUGUUUGUCCUCUCCUUUGCGAUUGGACUCGCCUUAAAGACAUUGGCAGCCAGUGUAUUGGUCUUGAAGCGCAGCACAUUUUGCGAUUCUUGCUGAUAAUCACUAGCGUCCAGUAAGCCUAUUUUAACAC
rnacentral:misc_RNA from 1 species